UACGUAGGAGGCGAGCGUUGUCCGGAUUUACUGGGCGUAAAGGGCGCGCAGGCGGCCCACCAAGAACGAUGUGAAAUCUCCCUGCUCAACGGGGAGGGUGCAUAGUAAACUGGUGAGCUAGAGGACGGUAGAGGGGGGUGGAAUUGCUGGUGUAGCGGUGAAAUGCGUAGAGAUCAGCAGGAACACCCGUGGCGAAGGCGGCCCCCUGGGCCGUACCUGACGCUGAGGCACGAAGGCCAGGGGAGCAAACGGG
rnacentral:rRNA from 1 species